rnacentral:piRNA from 3 species
UGGAAAAUGAUCCUCUUGAUCCACAGA